AGUUAGUAUUUCUGCCAGUGAUGUAUGAGGGUUCCAAUUAAUUGUUCCACAUCCUCUCCGAGAUCUGAUGGUGUCAGGUUUUACAUUAAGCCCUUCUGGUAGACUGCCUAAUGAAGCAGAAGGUCAUGAGAAAGUCCUUUUCCUUCUCUGACUUGCGUCUCCCUGGAGAACUACUGCCGGUAGCUCCUGGGACCUCCUUCCCUAGGACUGGCACUGAGUGUCCCUGGAUCCAGCCCCGAAUGAGGCUCAAGUCUAGGCAAGGAGCAAGCUCAGGAAAUCACGUAAGAGCCCCAACACGGGGAGACCAGACGUCUGCCUUUGAUGCAGAGAGAGAUAAUAGCUUUCUCUGGUUAUGGCAUGGAGGAGGGACUGGAGGGCGUAGAGACGGGACUGGCCGGGACACUGGCACAAUAGCCAAGGUGACAAAGGAUGAACGACAAAACAAGGAAGACCCUGACACAGGGCGAGUGAUGGAAGGACUCUGAGAAUGAAGAAUAGUUGGGACCUGUCUGCUGACGGACCGGAGGUGAGGGAGGAGCCUGCAUUGCUUCUGUGUGUUCACGCCACAUAAGGGAGAGCAUGGGGAUUGCAGAGCCCCCCCUGAACCCCCCCCACCAAGCCUGAGCAGUGGUUCAAAGUCGUCAAAUCUCAGUGUUCAUUAAACUCAUUUGGAAUUUCUUCUAUGGCAAUAGAAGGAUGAGUGCA